rnacentral:rRNA from 1 species
GUGGGGAAUAUUGGACAAUGGGCGAAAGCCUGAUCCAGCCAUGCCGCGUGUGUGAAGAAGGUCUUCGGAUUGUAAAGCACUUUAAGUUGGGAGGAAGGGCAGUAAGUUAAUACCUUGCUGUUUUGACGUUACCGACAGAAUAAGCACCGGCUAACUUCGUGCCAGCAGCCGCGGUAAUACGAAGGGUGCAAGCGUUAAUCGGAAUUACUGGGCGUAAAGCGCGCGUAGGUGGUUUUGUAAGUUGGAGGUGAAAUCCCCGGGCUCAACCUGGGAACUGCCUCCAAAACUGCAUGACUAGAGUACGGUAGAGGGGAGUGGAAUUUCCUGUGUAGCGGUGAAAUGCGUAGAUAUAGGAAGGAACACCAGUGGCGAAGGCGACUACCUGGACUGAUACUGACACUGAGGUGCGAAAGCGUGGGGAGCAAACAGGAUUAGAAACCCGGGUAGUCC